rnacentral:rRNA from 1 species
GACGAACGCUGGCGGCGUGCUUAACACAUGCAAGUCGAACGGUGAAAGCGGAGCUUGCUCCGCUGGAUCAGUGGCGAACGGGUGAGUAACACGUGGGUGAUCUGCCCUGCACUUCGGGAUAAGCCUGGGAAACUGGGUCUAAUACCGGAUAGGACCACUGCCUGCAUGGGUGGUGGUGGAAAGCUCUUGCGGUGUGGGAUGGGCCCGCGGCCUAUCAGCUUGUUGGUGGGGUGAUGGCCUACCAAGGCGACGACGGGUAGCCGGCCUGAGAGGGUGACCGGCCACACUGGGACUGAGAUACGGCCCAGACUCCUACGGGAGGCAGCAGUGGGGAAUAUUGCACAAUGGGCGCAAGCCUGAUGCAGCGACGCCGCGUGAGGGAUGACGGCCUUCGGGUUGUAAACCUCUUUCAGCACCGACGAAGCGCAAGUGACGGUAGGUGCAGAAGAAGGACCGGCCAACUACGUGCCAGCAGCCGCCGUAA